AAACAGGAUUCAGACUACAAUAUGGCGGUUAAGUGCUGUGCUAUUGUUCCUCCUGCUCAAAAUAAAGUUGUAUCUUAACUAUACUUAUCUGCUAUGCCUCUGUAGGGAUGUUUGCUUGGUCUCAUACAU
rnacentral:snoRNA from 1 species